CCUCAUCGCCGCCGCUCGUCGCCAUCUUCCGUCGUACUACUGCGGCUCCCUUCGGGGGCUUGCCACCGGCCCAGCGCCGCCUCCCGGGAGGGGGCGGAAAUGACGCAAUCGUCGCGUCAGACUGCGCGACGCAGUCGCCAGGCAAAACACGCGACGCGCAGGGCGGCCUCACUCUGCUCUCAGGAGAAGCUCGGCGCGGCGUGGAGGCGGGUUCGAGGAGCUGCGCCUGCGCAGGACGUACUGCUUUGAAGGAGGGCGGGGGAGCGUUAACCUCCGCGCCUGCGCGCUGGGAGUCGUUUCCCGAGGUAGGAGCAAGGUGGCUUCGCGGCAUCCGGAAAAGGUUCUUUUCUCCCCAUUUUUCUACUAGCAAACAAGGAACUUAAAUUUUAUAACGGAUUUUUGCCGAUAGAGCUAUCUGGGUUCAAGAUCUAAGAGGGAAAAGCGGUUUGACCAGUUGACUCCAGAAAAGGUAUGCGUGCAUUGAGGACAUUCUUCGCGGAGGUGGAGGGGUGUCGGUGGACGGUUUGAAGAUCCUGAAGCCCUGAAAUUCUUCCCCAAGUUUUGGAGGACCUACUGUUGUUUUGGUGUAACUCUGGUAAAUAAAUUGGUACCCGAUGAUCAAUCUGCACUUUCAGUAAGAAGGUAAUUUAUUGUAUGUCAGGAAAUAAUAACAACAGCAGAGUUGGUUUUUUUUUUCUUUUUUCUUUAUUUUUGAGAGAGAGCACAAGCGGAGGUGGGGCAGAGAGAAAGAGGGAGAGAGGGAAUUGCAAGCAGGCUCUGUGCAGACAGCAUAGAGCCCCACAAGGGGCUUGGUCCCACAAAUGGUGAGUUCAUGACCUGAGCCAAAACCAAGGUGCCCCACAACAGCAGGUUUCUUAAACAUAAAAAUAAAAAAAAAUAAAAAAGAGAAAGAAACUUCUCCAAAACAUAGCAAAUACUGCACUAGUUCAAGAUACUGAACCAGAGUCCUAAGGAAAAAGCUUGAAAUUUUUUUUUCAAGCUUAUUUACUUAUUUUGAGAGAGAGCAUGAGUAGGGGCGAGAGAGAGAGAGAGAGAGAGAGAGAGAGAGAGAGAGAAUCCCAAGCAGGCUCCGCACCAUCAGCACACAGCUCAACAUGGGGUUCGAACCCAUGAAACCAUGAGAUCGUGAUCCGAGCUGAAACCAAGAGUCAGACGCUUAACUGACUGAGCUACCCAGGUAGCUUGAAAUUUUACCCCUUGGCUUGAAAUUUUAAAGUGGCUCUUGGGACAUUAAUUUCAUUUUACCUGAAGUACAAAAUUAACCUGCAGAGGUUCUCUUGGGGAGGUUUCAGGAAAUAAUAGAAGAUCAAAUGUUCCUGCUCUCCUCCUUCCCCCUCCACCUGCUGCUUGAAGGAGACAUAGUAAAAAGAUAAAUGCAGACUAUCACCGGGAAAUUUGCACCUGUACCUAAACUCACAUUACUUUUUACUAUCUCUGGCUCAUCAAUUUGGAGAAAGCACUCCAGUUUAAGAUUUUUCUUUACAAGCAGCAUAUUAGUUUCAGUAUUCAAGGUUUGUUCUUGUGUUGCUUCAAGGUUUGGAGUGGCAUCCACAUUGUAAAUUUAAGUAAGCUGUGCACCUAACGUGGGAUUAAACUCAGGUCCGCAGGAUCAAGAGUUGCUUGCUCUGCUAACGGAGCCAACCAGGUGCCCUUCCACAUUCUAAAUUUAGAUAAGAAAGGAACACAGUAAAUAGGGUACUAAAAGAGACUUCUGUAUGUAACACAAGCUUCCAAUACUGUAGUCCAGAAAAUAAGAUAGAAACUAAACAGUAAUUUUUAUGAGUUAUUAACUGAAUGAUUUAAAAUAUUAGUUUCCUUCUAAUCCCAAGAGGCUGGGUAAGGAACUAAAAUUUUAAAACUUGUAAAAGAGAGAUAUGAUAUAGUCAUGUUACAAAAAUGCAGUGAAGGAAAAAUUAAGCAGCCAUGACUGAAUAGUAUUAAUGUGGGAAUACAGACAGAAGAAGUGUGAAGAAACCUCCUGGGAAGUGGAAAAAUAUGGAAAACAUAAUAUUCAAUUGUAUAUUUAUGAUGUAUACACAUUAGCAGUUAAAAAUACUUCAAUCUGAAAACAGUAAGAGGUCAGGGCGCCUGGGUGGCUCAGUCAGUUGAGCAUCCAACUCUUGAUUUCGGCUUAGGUCAUGAUCCCAGGGUCAUGGGAUCCAGCCCCGUGUCAGGCUCCAUGCUGAGCGUGAAGCCAGCUUAAGAGUCUCUCUCUCCUACCCCUUUCCCCUGCUCAUGCGUGUGCCCUCUCUCACGCGCUCUCUCUCCCUCCCUCCCUCUCUCUCUCUCUCUCUCUUCAGAAAUAAAAUCCAGAUUCCUUGGCUUCACUCAGAACUACUAAAUCAAAAUCUUUAGUAAUAAAAACAAGAGGUCACUGUCACUGCAGGAACCUCAAAGACAAGAGAUAGUGGCAUUUUUAUUUUUAAAAAAUUCCAUCUGAUCAGAGUUGCUUGAAAGAAAUCCUAGUAGACAUUGUGUGUUUAGAAAUGAUUACAUUGGGGUGCCUGAGUGGCUCUGUCAGUAAGCAUCCGACUUCAGCUCAGGUCAUGAUCUCACAGUUUGUGAGUUCAAGCCCCAUGUCAGGCUCUGUGCUGACAGCUCAGAGCCUGGAGCCUUCUUUGGAUUCUGUGUCUCCCUCUCUCUCUCUGCCCCUCCCCCACUUGCUCUCUGUCUCUUUCAAAAAAUAAACAAUAAUAAACAUUUUUUAAAGAAAUAAUCACAUGAAUAAGCUGCAACUGUUAGCUCCCAGCAGCCAUCAGAGGUGGCCAACAGAGGUCAAUCUGUUCUUGGGCUUUUACAAAGUUAUCAGAGCCAAUAGGGCCUAUUUUGUGGAAAUUCCUAGUGCAAAACUGAAUGCUGGAAAUGGAGAGCAGCUCCUUUUUGGUAAUUCACAAUGAACAGAGUUGUUUUUUGUUUUUGUUUUUAGUAUCAUGAAUAUAAGGAAAUAGAUUAGAAGCCUAAUUCAAUUUAGUAAUAAGAUAGUCAUUUGUAAUCCACAAGUAUUGAUUAUUUUUCCCAUAAUACUGCAUUGUAUAUGGUAUGAAUUUAAAACAGCAGAAAAAACAGCUGCCUUGCAGCCUUCUUACUUUAAGAGAGAGGAGCAAUCUUGGCAACUGUGCAGGGACUAGAAUACAAUGUUAGUUUUACAGAAUAGCAGGAAGCAAGACUUACAGGAAACUGAGGACGAAAAGAGCACAAUUGAAACGGUUGAAAUUAUAAUAAGGUGAAUAUCCAGAUUUGCAACGCUGUUCUGAAAGCUUGACUGGCAAACUUCUACAGAAUGAAGCUUAGAUGGAGACACUAAUUUAGCUUAACCCAAAUAACUUAUGUAAGAUCACAAAUAUAUCAGAAGAGUUUUCUUUCAUAAAAUGGUUUUUAUAUUCCUCAGACCUGCCAUUGCCCAUCUUUUAGGAUUUGCACUCAGCAAAAUUGUGGACUGUCACAUUUAGAGACAGGAGGGAUGAAGGAUAAAGCAAAUGUGGUAAAAGGUUAACAUUUGGGGAAUCUGAGUGGAGGAUAUCUGAGAAAUCUCUGUACUCUUCUUGUAACAUUUCUUUAAGUCUGAAACUGCUUCAAAAUAAAUUUUUUUUUUUAAAGUUUGUGAGUGCUUUAUGAUUAGGAAAACAUGACUGAAGUAUAAUGAUCUAUGUGGCAGGUACUUAGCAGAAGGAAAGUCGUAUACAUAAAAAUCUAGGAAAAGUGGAGUCAAGCGAUUAAACUGUAUCCUUUAGCACUACUGGGGGUGGGAGGGGGACAGGAGAGCUACCCUGGUCAGAAGUGAAUGUUCUUGGCAGAAGCACACUGACCAUAAAGACCAUGCAGAGAAUAUCACAUCCUCUAUUCUAACUGCAAAAUAACCAGACUUACAAUAGCAUUUUAACUUAUACAGGCUUUUUAAAAAUAGGAUACGCAUUCCAACUGGCAGACAUAAGCGUAACCCUACACUCUGGUUUAUCACUCUUCUAGUCUAGCAUAUGGGAUAUACAACGUCACCAAAACCGUAAACCACUUAUGUGAGUAAACGUGCCUUUGAAAUGCUUAGUUUGCUUUACUUUCACUCAUUCCAAUUGCAUGUGAGGUGAUAGGAGACAAGAGUGUGCUUCCAGGGCACCUGGGUGGCUCAUAUGGUUAAGUGUCCAACUUAGGCUCAGGUCAUGAUCUCACGGUUCACGAGUUCAAGCCCCACAUCAGGCUCUCUGCUGUCGGUGCAGAGCUCACAUCAGAUUCUCCAUCUCCCUCUCUCUCUGCUGCUCCCCCACUCUCAAAAAUAAACAUUAAAAGAAAAAGUGUGCUUCCAUACAAAUGAGUGGCUAUUUUAUAAAGACCCCCGCCCCCUUAAGUGUCAUCAGUCUGUAUACUAGGAAAGGCACCUUCCCAGUAUCAUGGAUCUGAAAUUUACAUAAGCCUCAGUGCUAAUAGAAAAAUGGCUUCUUGGGCCUCCUGGGUGGCUCAGUCUGUUAAGCAUCCGACUCUUGAUUCCAGCUCAGGUCAUGAUCUCAUGGUUCAUGAGAUCUGCACUGUCAGCACAGGGCCUGCUUGGGAUUCUCUCUCUGCCCCUUCCGUACUCAUGUUCUCUCUCUGUCUCUCUC